rnacentral:lncRNA from 1 species
AAAAAAAGAGGCGGACGAAGAGCAAUCAUCGAAGCUGCUAGCUUCUCACAACUAGAAGCCAAUUAAAGUGACUGUAGAUAUGAGAAAUCAACAAGGCCAUUCUGUGUAAGAAUUUCUAUACAGAAAAUAAGGAGAGAAAACAUUGAAAAUAUAAUUGGUAUACCUUAAAGGUAAGUAAUUUACUUUUCCCUUUCAAAUUCUUGAAAUUCUACAAUUUGAUUUUAUAUACGAACAAAGACAACAAAGUUUGAUUAUAACUCUUAUGGAGUCUGUAAGAAAUUAUAACCACGUGAAGUGGUAAAAUCACUAUGUCCUGCCAUGAUUAAAUU